GCCGUGGGAAUAUGCCCUUUUGGUACGGAACAACUGAGGGAAACUUCAGCUAAUACCGUAUGUGCCCUUUCGGGGGGGAAAAGAUUUUAUCGCCAUUGGAGUUAAGCCCGCGUUUGGAUUAGGUAGUUGGUGGGGUAAUGGCCUACCAAGCCUACGAUCCAUAGCUGGUCUGAGAGGAUGAUCAGCCACACUGGGACUGAGACACGGCCCAGACUCCUACGGGAGGCAGCAGUAGGGAAUCUUGCGCAAUGGACGAAAGUCUGACGCAGCGACGCCGCGUGGGGGAUGAAGGUCUUCGGAUUGUAAACCCCUUUCGGGAGGGAAGAUGGAGUGGGUAACCACUUGGACGGUACCUCCAGAAGCAGCCACGGCUAACUUCGUG
rnacentral:rRNA from 1 species